rnacentral:lncRNA from 10 species
AUCACAGGACAGGCUGGUGUAAGUGGGCCACAGGGCCUUUGGGGUGAUGAAGUACUCGGUGAUCAAAAUAGAUUAAGGAGAGGCCAUACGAAGGAGUUUGGACUUCAAUUUGCAGCAAGUGAGUUACAAUCGAGGGCUUUUGAGAAGAGGAUGUUCUGCAUUUUAGGAAAAUCAUCCAAACAGCAUUUUGAAGGGGGUGGGGCUUAAGAGGAAGCUGAUGGAAAGUAAUCUUUGUGAAGGAAGGAUUGCAGCCACCUAGUCAGGAGAUGGUGACGAGAAGGCAAAGACAUUAGCAGUAGGAAUUCAAAGAAUGGUUGGCAGACAUUUUGAGGAAGAAAUGACAGAUUUGAUCAUCGAUUGGAGGGAGGAGUCCAAAGUGAAACCAGGGUGUCUACAAUGUGAAUUCACAAGAGGAGGAGGGCUCCGUAGCUGGCAGGAUGGGGCGUUACUGCAACGCGGGGCAUCUAGAGGCCGUGUUAUGGUCAAAAUGGUUACAAGAAAAGACCCUGCAGGUAUUUCAUAUUGUGAGUCUGUAGUUUAGAAAAAUAAAAGAAGAAUGUUCCAUGCGCAGAAAAAGUUCCACUACUAUAAUUCCUUAUGGUAAUUCUAAAAUUCUGUAAGAUAAAAAUUACAAGCUUUUAUGAGGUUUGGUGCCAAAACUUAUUGGGUGAUAAACCUAACCUGAACAAAUGUGAGGCUAUCUAUAGACUUUAUCCUACUCAAAGUCAAUAUUCAUUUUUUUUUUGUUGCAGAAAUAAUACACUUAAAUGUACAGUACUGUCCCAAAUUUACUGGGCUGAGGGUUUUUAUAUUAAAUGGUGCAUGUAUCAAAUUAUCAUUUAAAAAUAAAAAGUGGAUAUAAUUUCUGAAAUGUAUCUGUUCCCAAGGUUUUAGAUGAAGAAUUGUGGAUAUAUAUAUCAAUACCUACAGUGGUUUUUUAACUUCACAUUUUAAGAAGGUAUUGUCUUAGUUUUAUGCAUUGGCAUAAAGCACAGUAAAUAAACAGAUGCCUCUUUUUAUCUGAAAAUUUUGGAGAAUAAAGCAUUCUUUGUAUGUGUCUUUUCCAUACACUCAUGCUUAGUAAGUUUCUUUGUCCAUAAAAUUGGGAUAAUAAUACUACCUACCUCAUAGAAUUGUUUAAACAGCUAAUGUACACCAUCUAACACAUAAGUAUGUUAGCAAAUUUAGUCAUUAUUAUCUCACCCCUUUAAUUAAUAAAACAUUUUUAAAAAGCAUUUUGGAUGAAAAACUUGUUUUCCCAACCUCUGAAAGUGCAAUGAAAAUAAAUGUGUCCCUUCUUGUUGAAUGUAAAGAGCAAAGAGUACCCCCAUUUCUUGAAAACCUAAUAUGUACUUGUUGCUUUAAUCCCACGAGAUGAACGUUAUUUUCCCCAUUUCACAGAUGCAGCAACAGAGAUUCUGAGAUGUUAAGUAGCAUGAUCAAGUUGCCCUCCAGUAAGGGAUAGGUUAACUUGUCUUUCCACUUCGUCUAGCUCCUAGAGAUGCACGGAAGAGACAGCAGAUAAAACACAUUGUCCGUGUGAGUAAAACAUUCACGUGGGCCUCUUCCUAGGCAUACUUCUGGUUACUUUUUAAUCAGCUAUAAGAAUGUUGUUUUUCCAUUUGUGCUAUUAGUCCUAUGUGGAUAAGGACAUACUUCAGACUCAAGAUUUCUAAUGAUGCCCCUUUUUAUCUACCUCGAACCAGUCCCUACAUCGUCCCCCACCAACAGUAACUUCUGGAAAUAACACCCAUUUGGCUUAUAAUAAUAAAGUCUAAUUUUCAGACAAGCUGCAAACGGUAUCUGUUAAUGUGAUCAUGAUUGGGAGGAGGAAAGGGAUGUGAGAGUGAGGUAAGAGUCUGGUAGUGGCGCACUGAGGGUGUGGGAGGGAAGCGUUCCCUUGCUGUAAAAGGGGAUUACCUGACCCAAAAGGAAAUCAAGUUUAUUGUAACUUGACUAAGUAAACAGCAAUGUAAUCC